rnacentral:rRNA from 1 species
AGUGAACGCUGGCGGUAGGCCUAACACAUGCAAGUCGAACGGCAGCACAUUAAGAGCUUGCUCUUACGGGUGGCGAGUGGCGGACGGGUGAGGAAUACAGCGGAAUCUACUUUUUCGUGGGGGAUAACGUAGGGAAACUGACGCUAAUACCGCAAACGACCUACGAGUGAAAGCAGGGGAGCUUCGGACCAUGCGCGAUUGAAUAAGCCGAUCUCGGAUUAGCUAGUUGGCUGGGUAAAGGCCCACCAAGGCGACGAUCCGUAGCUGGUCUGAGAGGAUGAUCAGCCACACUGGACCUGAGACACGGUCCAGACUCCUACGGGAGGCAGCAGUGGGGAAUAUUGGACAAUGGGCGCAAGCCUGAUCCAGCCCUACCGCGUGGGUGAAGAAGGCCUUCGGGUUGUAAAGCCCUUUUGUUGGGAAAGAAAAGCAGCAGGUUAAUACCCCGCUGUUCUGACGGUACCCAAAGAAUAAGCACCGGCUAACUUCGUG